AUUGAACGCUGGCGGCAUGCCUUACACAUGCAAAUCGAACGGUAACGGGCCUUCGGGUGCCGACGAGUGGCGAACGGGUGAGUAAUACAUCGGAACGUGCCCGAUCGUGGGGGAUAACGAGGCGAAAGCUUUGCUAAUACCGCAUACGAUCUACGGAUGAAAGCAGGGGACCGCAAGGCCUUGCGCGGACGGAGCGGCCGAUGGCAGAUUAGGUAGUUGGUGGGAUAAAAGCUUACCAAGCCGACGAUCUGUAGCUGGUCUGAGAGGAUGAUCAGCCACACUGGGACUGAGACACGGCCCAGACUCCUACGGGAGGCAGCAGUGGGGAAUCUUGGACAAUGGGCGCAAGCCUGAUCCAGCCAUGCCGCGUGCAGGAUGAAGGCCUUCGGGUUGUAAACUGAUUUUGUACGGAACGAAAAGCCUUCUUUUAAUACAGGAGGGUCAUGACGGUACCGUAAGAAUAAGCACCGGCUAACUACGUG
rnacentral:rRNA from 1 species